GUAGUCCUAUUUUUGUUCCAUCAACAACAACAGCAGAAGAAUUUUUCCAUUUGUUCCAAAAUAAUGAACGAAUGAUGUGUCAGCUGUAUUAUUAUUAUUAUUGAUCUUCAUUCAUUCAUUCAUUCACAAUCUACAGAGCAAAGCAAAAGAAGAAGAAAUUCUUUUCAACAACCAAGGCUUGAUUCUGCCGCCGCCGCCGCCACCACCACCACCACGACGUUUGGAUCAAUUCUUGUAUAGAACGCAUGCUAGUAUGUUACGGUUUCAACAAAAGAAAAUGAAA